rnacentral:misc_RNA from 1 species
CAGAGUUGCAAGACUCCCUAAACCAUUGUGAACCUACCUUCUACCGUUGCUUCGGCGGGCGGGCCCAGCGCCCCCCCCGGCCCCCCGCGGGCGCCCGCCGGAGGAUACCCAAACUCUUGACAUUAGUGGCCUCUCUGAGUAUUCUUCACUGAAUAAGUCA